UCCACAGUAGCCAGUGGUAGAGCUAUCGGCUGUUAACCGAUCGGUCGUAGGUUCGAGUCCUACCUGUGGAGCCA
rnacentral:tRNA from 1 species